UUAUGGUUGCGAUAUUACAAAGAAGGGACAAUCCGACCAAGCAAGGGUGCCCGAGCACCCAGGUCAAGAGGGACCAUCUCCGGCCCGAAAGGAAACCACCCUCCCCCCAGUUGGCUACCGACCUUCCACAACCGUGCAACAGGUCUUCGCGUAAAGCGUGUCUCGGCAGCUGCACAGCGAGUCGAAGCUAAGCCCAAGCCCGCCAAAGCCCCACCAACGUACAGCAAACCGCACUAGCGCACGAGGCGCAAUCAAACCGGCGAGGCGUCAACGCAGGUACACCGGGCACGUAGUCCGGCGACGCCCACGUCGACGCCCCACACCCACAGCGCACACACCAGAGGCACACCGCUCCCACCACCCACGAGCAAAUUAAGGCGAGGGGGGCGGGGAGCCCACAUCAUCAGGCAACACUAGCAGCACACAGUCACCUGCACCCCGCGAGAGGAACGGAUGGUGCGCAGGCACCGUGGCCCAGGCUUUCGGGCGGAGGCCGAGACUGACAUACGAUUGCAGCCGGCCCCAGAAAUCAGCAAUAACGGACACACUGAUGCGCAUGACUUCCGCC
rnacentral:lncRNA from 1 species